GGGGCUGAACGGUUUUGACAGCAUAGUUCUUUAUAAGUAUAAGCAUGUAGCGCGUUGCGUAAUUAGCGCUUUAAUCUGAAUACGUAACAAUUAAAUGGCAAUUACAAUUUUGCCUUGGCUGCUUAAUCGAUAGAUUAACAACCAAUAUAGCCGUUGGUCAGGCAGGCUCGUUGCCGCGGCCUUCCGCUCAAUCAAAAAUAAAACGGGCUGCAAUAAUCUCAGGCUGUGCGGGUUAUUAAAGAUCCCGAUAAUCAUCGGGCAUACAGCUAAGGAAAAGGUUGGUUUGUUUUGCCCCUGCCUAUCCUGACACAAAAUGCAGAACUAAACAUGUAGAAGGCUUGUAACGGAUAUGUUUGGACCAGGGUUCGAAUCCCUGCAGCUCCACUU
rnacentral:tmRNA from 1 species